GAUGAACGCUGGCGGCGUGCCUAACACAUGCAAGUCGAACGGAGACAAAGAGUUUACUUUUUGUUUUAGUGGCGGACGGGUGAGUAACGCGUGAGCAAUCUGCCCUUCGGUGGGGGACAACAGCUGGAAACGGCUGCUAAUACCGCAUAACGUAUAUUGGAGGCAUCUUCGAUAUACCAAAGAUUUAUUGCCGAAGGAUGAGCUCGCGUCUGAUUAGCUAGUUGGUAAGGUAAUGGCUUACCAAGGCUUCGAUCAGUAGCCGGACUGAGAGGUUGAACGGCCACAUUGGGACUGAGAUACGGCCCAGACUCCUACGGGAGGCUG
rnacentral:rRNA from 1 species